AUUUAUAUAGUUUAAAUAAAACAUUACAUUUUCAUUGUAAAAAUAAAUUUUUCAAUUUUAUUAAUA
rnacentral:tRNA from 1 species